AACGAACGCUGGCGGCAUGCCUAACACAUGCAAGUCGAACGAGACCUUCGGGUCUAGUGGCGCACGGGUGCGUAACGCGUGGUAACCUGCCCUUAGGUUCGGAAUAACUCCCCGAAGGGUGUGCUAAUACCGGAUAAUCUCUUCGGACCAAAGAGUUAUCGCCGUUGGAUGGGCCCGGGUUGGUUUAGCCAGUUGGUAGGGUAAAAGCCUACCAAGGGGACGAUGCAUAGCUGGUCUGAGAGGAUGCUAAGGCCGACUGGGACUGAGACACGGACUAGACUCCUACGGGAGGCAGCAGUGGGGAAUAUUGGAGACUGGGCGAAAGCCUGACACAGCAAUGCCGCGUGAGUGAUGCAGGCCUUAGGGUUGUACAGCCCUUUGACACGGGAUGAUAAUGACAGUACCGGGAGAAUAAGCUCCGGCUAACUACGUG
rnacentral:rRNA from 1 species